rnacentral:rRNA from 1 species
GAUGAACGCUGGCGGCGUGCCUAAUACAUGCAAGUCGAGCGAACGGACGAGAAGCUUGCUCCCCUGAUGUUAGCGGCGGACGGGUGAGUAACACGUGGAUAACCUACCUAUAAGACUGGGAUAACUUCGGGAAACCGGAGCUAAUACCGGAUAAUAUUUUGAACCGCAUGGUUCAAAAGUGAAAGACGGUCUUGCUGUCACUUAUAGAUGGAUCCGCGCUGCAUUAGCUAGUUGGUAAGGUAACGGCUUACCAAGGCAACGAUGCAUAGCCGACCUGAGAGGGUGAUCGGCCACACUGGAACUGAGACACGGUCCAGACUCCUACGGGAGGCAGCAGUAGGGAAUCUUCCGCAAUGGGCGAAAGCCUGACGGAGCAACGCCGCGUGAGUGAUGAAGGUCUUCGGAUCGUAAAACUCUGUUAUUAGGGAAGAACAUAUGUGUAAGUAACUGUGCACAUCUUGACGGUACCUAAUCAGAAAGCCACGGCUAACUACGUG